rnacentral:rRNA from 1 species
GACAGCAGUAGCCGCGGUAAUACAGAGGGUGCGAGCGUUAAUCGGAUUUACUGGGCGUAAAGCGUGCGUAGGCGGCUUCUUAAGUCGGAUGUGAAAUCCCUGAGCUUAACUUAGGAAUUGCAUUCGAUACUGGGAAGCUAGAGUAUGGGAGAGGAUGGUAGAAUUCCAGGUGUAGCGGUGAAAUGCGUAGAGAUCUGGAGGAAUACCGAUGGCGAAGGCAGCCAUCUGGCCUAAUACUGACGCUGAGGUACGAAAGCAUGGGGAGCAAACAGGAUUAGAUACCCGAGUAGUCCCUGUCUCUUAUAC